AUUAUAAAUUCCAACUAGACAUAUAAGAAGGCUAUUCUGUUAUACAUCCUGUAAGCUGAUUACAUGGAUUGCACAGCAGCAACAAUGCCUUGCCUAGUUGUUGUAGCAUUUCACCAACAAAAGAUUACAAGAAAUAUAACAUACAAUAAAAUGGACAUGGGAAUCAUGGAGAACCAAAAAGCUAGAUCUGCCGAUGGUUCAGGCUGCAUAUAAUAUGGAAAUAUUAGUAUGGCUGAUAUCAUGAGUACAGCCAGAAAAACCAAAGCACAGACUUUGUUGUCUCUUGCCAUCUAAUUGCUAUAUUAUCAGGGAUGGAGGGAAAAUGAUGAAGCUAGGAAAGAUCUUAAACUACUGCUUGUG
rnacentral:lncRNA from 1 species